AUUGAACGCUGGCGGUAGGCCUAACACAUGCAAGUCGAACGCGAAAGUCCUUCGGAGUGAGUAGAGUGGCGGACGGGUGGAGUAACGCGUAGGAAUCUAUCCUGUAGUGGGGGAGUAACGUUUCGUAAAGGAACGCUAAUACCGCAUACGCCCCAACGGGGGAAAGGACGGGGGAGUCUUCGGACCUCGUGCUAUAGGAGGAGCCUGCGUCGGAUUAGCUAGUUGGUGAGGUAAAGGCUCACCAAGGCGACGAUCCGUAGCUGGUCUGAGAGGAUGAUCAGCCACACUGGGACUGAGACACGGCCCAGACUCCUACGGGAGGCAGCAGUGGGGAAUAUUGGACAAUGGGCGAAAGCCUGAUCCAGCAAUGCCGCGUGAGUGAUGAAGGCCUUAGGGUUGUAAAGCUCUUUUACCAGGGAUGAUAAUGACAGUACCUGGAGAAUAAGCUCCGGCUAACUCCGUG
rnacentral:rRNA from 1 species